UACGUGGGGGGCAAGCGUUGUUCGGAAUUACUGGGCGUAAAGGGCACGUAGGCGGCCAACUAAGUCAGACGUGAAAUCCCUCGGCUUAACCGGGGAACUGCGUCUGAUACUGGAUGGCUUGAGUUUGGGAGAGGGAUGCGGAAUUCUAGGUGUAGCGGUGAAAUGCGUAGAGAUGUGGAGGAACACCGAUGGCGAAGGCAGCCCCCUGGGCUAACACUGACGCUCAGGCACGAAAGCGUGGGGAGCAAACAGG
rnacentral:rRNA from 1 species